rnacentral:rRNA from 1 species
GACAGAGGUGCCGAGCGUUAGGCGGAAUCACUGGGCUUAAAGCGUGUGUAGGCGGGUCGUUAAGUGUCUUGUGAAAUCCCCCGGCUCAACCGGGGAAUGGCUGGGCAUACUGGCGAUCUUGAGCAGUCUAGGGGCAGAUGGAACAAGUGGUGGAGCGGUGAAAUGCGUAGAUAUCAGGAGGAACACCGGUGGCGAAGGCGGUUCUCUGGGCAUGUCCUGACGCUGAGGAGCGAAAGUGUGGGGAGCGAACAGG